AAAAUUUUAGUUUAAUUAUAAAAUAUUUCAUUUACAAUGAGAUGAUUAUUUAUUUUGAUAAGAUUUUA
rnacentral:tRNA from 1 species